CAGAUGCUGACAACACAAAUCCUGGUUCUAAGUGACUUGGCCAGAUUCCUAUCUACAGAUCAACCAGGAUUUUCUGGUUUCCAUCAUCAAGAACUGCUGUCACAGUUGCAGAACCUCAUGUGGCUACUUCACAAUCAAGCUCCCGGAGGAAGAGCAGAGGUGUAGAAAAGACAGUUGCAGGUUGAGAAGAUAUACCACAUUCUGGAAGACAGCACCCCAACCAUGCAGGUUUCCCAGUUAGCAACACAACCACUUUAAGUGGACAGCUCCUUCUUGGUGAUGAAGUAGACGGUGAGUCCAGAGAACUCCAAAGAAACAGCAGCUUAACUAACACCUCCCUUUCAAGAACAGCAUCAGGACACUUGCUGAAAGUAUAGUGAGCUGGGACUCGAGGACCUGGGAACAGUCAAUACCUACUUAUCUCAGAUGGUGAGAGAAGUACUCCAAGCCGCUGCCUCUGGCGGGAGACUUGAGUACCAGCCAGAUGCACAGUGACAAAGAGCAGUCUGAUGGCUUUUGCUACAGUGGUUUUUAGAUUUCUCUGUAUGAUAUAAAUAUGCAACUAUUUAACUAUUUGGCAAUGGUUUUUGCAUUUUGCAGUAAAGUUUUUGAUGACAAAGAGCUCAAAUAAAUGAAAGCCAAGGUUUAAUAGAAAA